UACGAAGGGUGCUAGCGUUGUUCGGAAUUACUGGGCGUAAAGCGCGCGUAGGCGGCUAUCCAAGUCAGAGGUGAAAGCCCAGGGCUCAACCCUGGAAUUGCCUUUGAAACUGGAUGGCUAGAAUGUCGGAGGGGAUAGCGGAAUUCCUAAUGUAGCAGUGAAAUGCGUAGAUAUUAGGAGGAACACCGGUGGCGAAGGCGGCUAUCUGGACGACAAUUGACGCUGAGGCGCGAAAGCGUGGGGAUCAAAC
rnacentral:rRNA from 1 species